AUUGAACGCUAGCGGGAUGCUUUACACAUGCAAGUCGAACGGCAGCGCGGACUUCGGUCUGGCGGCGAGUGGCGAACGGGUGAGUAUUGUAUCGGAACGUGCCCAGUAGCGGGGGAUAACUACGCGAAAGCGUAGCUAAUACCGCAUACGCCCUACGGGGGAAAGCAGGGGAUCGUAAGACCUUGCACUAUUGGAGCGGCCGAUAUCGGAUUAGCUAGUUGGUGAGGUAACGGCUCACCAAGGCGACGAUCCGUAGCUGGUUUGAGAGGACGACCAGCCACACUGGGACUGAGACACGGCCCAGACUCCUACGGGAGGCAGCAGUGGGGAAUUUUGGACAAUGGGGGCAACCCUGAUCCAGCCAUCCCGCGUGUGCGAUGAAGGCCUUCGGGUUGUAAAGCACUUUUGGCAGGAAAGAAACGUCGCGGGCUAAUACCCCGUGGAACUGACGGUACCUGCAGAAUAAGCACCGGCUAACUACGUG
rnacentral:rRNA from 1 species